CAGCUCCCGCCCAAUUCAAAGUAUAAAUACUCCACUCCUAGUCGACUUUUCCAUUUUUCAUUUUAAAUUUCUUUCUCUUCUAUUUUUUUUUUUUUGAGUGUUAAUUGUUCUUUAAUGCUAUAAAUAGUGUACCUAUGGCGCAGGUACUUUACGCAGUGGCUUGAUAUGACGCUUCACGAAGAACCUAUCCUACAGGUAACUUCCGAAAGUGUACCUAUGACACAAGUACCUGCGAUUACCUAUACAUACCUGCGACAAGAGCUUACCUAUAUGAUAGUUUUGAAGUUUGGCAUAUACCUUUGACUAGGUACCUGCGAUUACCUAUACGACAGGGCCAUAAUUAAUUGUGGAAGAUACGAUUUCUAAGAUUCUUUCUAUUCUUGGCGUCUGAAGAUUGUUUAACGCGAUUUUUGAUAUUAUGCUCGCAUUUAGGUUAUCCGAUUUCUAUCUUAGGUGCAAAAUUGGAAGCACAACGUAAAUUAAAAAAUUAAGAAAAUAAAAUAUAAACCUUAGAAAUUAAAAAAAGGUAAGUAAUCCUACAUGGCACAAAAGUCAGAAGACUUGAAUUACUAACAACAAAUGUGUGGAUUGCACCCAAAUUUUAUCAUAAGAAUUGGACUUAUACCGAAUUUUCUACUUUAAAAACACACUCUCACUGACUCUCGAGCAAUUCGACUUCCUCUACCACCUGUGGCACGUAGCCAGCAAAAAUCACAUGUCAACCGUCUUCCUCUGUCUUCUUCUUCUUCCUCCAACAAUCGCCUGAAAAAUUUCGCACAAAUGGAAUAUUCCGCCGAUGAAUUCGACGUCAUCGUGGUCGGAGCCGGCAUCAUGGGUAGCUCCACCGCCUACCAGACGGCCAAGCGUGACCAGAAGACCCUCUUCCUCGAGCAAUUCGACUUCCUCCACCACCGCGGCUCCUCCCGUGGCGCGGUUGGCGAGUCCUGGACGAUCCGCGCCACUUACCCAGAAGGUUCUCGAGUCCUACAAGCUCUGGCAGGAAGCCGAGUCCGAGAUCGGCUACAAUGUCUACUUCAAAGUUCACCAUUUGGACAUGGCCCCGGCAAACAACAAAGUUCUGCAUGCCAUUGUUGAGAGCUGUGGUAAAAAUUCGGUCCCCUUUCGGGUCAUGAAGCGGGACCAGCUGGAUCGGGAGUUCUGGGGUCGGGUUCGGAUUUCGAAGGAUUGGGUGGCCGUGGCGACGGAGCAUGGUGAGGUUAUUAAACCCACCAAGGCUGUGUCUAUGUUUCAAACACUUGCUCUGUAGAAUGGUGCCGUUUUGAGGGACAAUAUGGAGGUGAAGGGUGUGGAGAGAGAUGGGGUGAGAAAGGGGGUUUGGGUGUGCACAGAAAAUGGAGAGAGGUUUUGGGGGAAGAAGUGUGUGGUGACCGUUGGGGCUUGGACUACAAAGUUAGUUAAAACGGUUGGUGGAAUUGAGCUGCCUAUGCAGCCAUUGGAGACUGCUGUUUGUUAUUGGAGGAUUAAGGAGGGGCAUGAGGGUGGUUUUGCCAUUGGUGGUGACUUUCCAACCUUUGCUAGCUAUGGGGAUACCUACAUUUAUGGGACACUCUCUUUGGAGUACCCCGGUUUGAUCAAGGUUGCCGUGCAUGGCGGGUACCCAUGUGACCCGGAUAAGAGGCCGUGGGGACCCGGGAACCCGCUGGCUCCGUUGAAGGAGUGGAUUGAGGGGAGGUUCUCCGGUGUGGUUGACUCCGGUGGGCCGGUGGCCACUCAGCUGUGUAUGUACUCCAUGACCCCGGAUGAGGACUUUGUGAUUGAUUUCUUGGGUGGGGAGUUUGGGAAGGAUGUGGUGGUGGGUGGCGGGUUUUCGGGUCACGGGUUCAAGCUGUCUCCGGUGGUGGGGAGGAUAUUGGCUGACCUCGCACUUAGUGGGGAGGCUCAAGGAGUGGAGCUAAAGCACUUUAGGAUAGCAAGGUUUCAAGAGAAUCCUAAAGGCAAUGUUAAAGACUUCCUAUAGAUCAUUGAUGCUAAUUUGAAGCAGAAUUGGGUAGCUUCCAUCUGUGGCCAAUAAUUUGAAGCACUUUAAUAUAGCAAACUGUAUGCGAUUAUGUGUGAGUGACUAUGUAUGUGUGUGUUGGACAAAUUGACACAAUAAACACACUGCUUCAUUUGGUGUUCAAUGAUCCUCGAAAUGUUGCAUCAAUU